UACAGAGGUCCCAAGCGUUGUUCGGAUUCACUGGGCGUAAAGGGUGCGUAGGCGGUCGGGUAAGUCUGACGUGAAAUCUCCAAGCUCAACUUGGAAAUGGCGUCGGAUACUAUUCGGCUCGAGGAAUGGAGGGGAGACUGGAAUUCUCGGUGUAGCGGUGAAAUUCGUAGAUAUCGGGAGGAACACCGGUGGCGAAGGCGGCGACCUGGGUAGAUACUGACGCUGAGGUGCGAAAGCGUGGGGAGCAAACAGG
rnacentral:rRNA from 1 species